GCCUCUGUGGUAUAGUGUAGUAGCACGCGUCCUCGGUAUGGAUUCAACGAGGGUUCGAUUCCUGCCUGAGGCC